rnacentral:rRNA from 1 species
UGCGUAGGCGGGGCAAUUAGUCAGUGGUGAAAUCCUGCGGCUUAACCGUAGAACUGCCAUUGAUACUGUUGCCCUUGAGUAUAGUUGAGGUGGGCGGAAUGUGUAAUGUAGCGGUGAAAUGCAUAGAGAUUACACAGAACACCAAUUGCGAAGGCAGCUCACUAAGCUAUAACUGACGCUGAGGCACGAAAGCGUGGGGAGCGAACAGGAUUAGAUACCUGGUAGUCC